AGGGUUUGAUCAUGGCUCAGAAUGAACGCUGGCGGCGUGCCUUACACAUGCAAGUCGGAUGUGUCGCAAGACACAUGGCAGACGGGUGAGUAACACGUGGGAAACUUACCUCUUAGUGGGGAAUAACGCUCCGAAAGGAGCGGUAAUACCGCAUGAGACCUAUCGCUGGGAUGCGAUAGAUGAAAGCUGGGGAUCGUAAGACCUAGCGCUGAGAGAGAGUCCUGCGUCUGAUUAGUUAGUUGGUGAGGUAACGGCUCACCAAGACUUCGAUCAGUAGCCGGCCUGAGAGGGCGAUCGGCCACACUGGAACUGAGACACGGUCCAGACUCCUACGGGAGGCAGCAGUGGGGAAUCUUGCGCAAUGGGCGAAAGCCUGACGCAGCAACGCCGCGUGGGUGAUGAAGGUCUUCGGAUUGUAAAACCCUGUCGUUAGGGACGAAGGCAUGAAUCCUAAUACGAUUCAUGUUUGACGGUACCUAGAAAGGAAGCCCCGGCUAACUCUGUGCCAGCAGCCGCGGUAAUACAGAGGGGGCAAGCGUUAUUCGGAAUUAUUGGGCGUAAAGGGUGCGUAGGCGGUUUUUUAAGUCAGAUGUGUAAUCCCCGAGCUCAACUUGGGAACUGCAUCUGAAACUGGAAGACUAGAGUGCUGGAGAGGAUGGUGGAAUUCCACGUGUAGCGGUGAAAUGCGUAGAGAUGUGGAGGAACACCAGUGGCGAAGGCGGCCAUCUGGACAGUAACUGACGCUGAAGCACGAAAGUGUGGGUAGCAAACAGGAUUAGAUACCCUGGUAGUCCAUGCGGUAAACGGUGGGCACUAGGUGUGGGUUUCUAUUAACGGAAUCCGCGCCGUCGCUAACGCAUUAAGUGCCCCGCCUGGGGAGUACGGCCGCAAGGUUAAAACUCAAAGGAAUUGACGGGGGCCCGCACAAGCAGCGGAGCGUGUUGCUUAAUUCGAUGCUACGCGAAGAACCUUACCUGGGUUUGACAUGUACGGAAAAGCAGUAGAGAUACUGUGUCCUUCGGGGUCGUACACAGGUGCUGCAUGGCUGUCGUCAGCUCGUGUCGUGAGAUGUUGGGUUAAGUCCCGCAACGAGCGCAACCCUUGCCAUUAGUUGCUACAUUCAGUUGAGCACUCUAAUGGGACUGCCGGUGACAAACCGGAGGAAGGUGGGGAUGACGUCAAGUCCUCAUGGCCCUUAUGGGUAGGGCUACACACGUCAUACAAUGGCGCGUACAGAGGGUUGCCAACCCGCGAGGGGGAGCCAAUCCCAGAAAACGCGUCGUAGUCCGGAUUGAAGUCUGCAACUCGACUUCAUGAAGUCGGAAUCGCUAGUAAUCGCGGAUCAGCAUGUCGCGGUGAAUACGUUCCCGGGCCUUGUACACACCGCCCGUCACACCAUGGGAGUGGGGUUCACCAGAAGCAGGUUGCCUAACCGCAAGGAGGGCGCCUACCACGGUGAGCUUCAUGACUGGGGUGAAGUCGUAACAAGGUAACCG
rnacentral:rRNA from 1 species